rnacentral:lncRNA from 1 species
UGAAAUGAACAUUCCUGUAGUGAAAACUUUCAAGAUAUUCAUGAUAAUUUCCUUAGGUCAAAUUCUUGGAUAUGAAAUUAUUAUGUCAAAAAUAGGCACAUCAUUAAGUCUUCUUAUACAAGUUAUGAAGCAUUAUGAUGUGAGAAUCACAUUUCCUCUCACCCUCUGCAAAAUUAGAUAUUAUAAUAAUCUGCUUGAAUAUGAUGUAUUGAACUCUCAUUGAUUAUA